AGGGAAAGUCGGGCUGGAGAGAUGGCUCAGAGGGUAAGAGCACUGACUGCUCUUCCAGAGGUCCUGAGUUCAAUUCCCAGCAACCACAUGGUGGCUCACAAUCAUCUCUAGUGGGAUCUAACGCCCUUUUCUGGCAUGAAGGUAUACCUGCAGAUAGAGCACUCAUAUAU